UACGUAGGGUGCGAGCGUUGUCCGGAAUUAUUGGGCGUAAAGAGCUCGUAGGCGGUCUGUCGCGUCGAUCGUGAAAACUUGGGGCUUAACCCUGAGCUUGCGGUCGAUACGGGCAUGACUGGAGUUCGGCAGGGGAGACUGGAAUUCCUGGUGUAGCGGUGAAAUGCGCAGAUAUCAAGGAGGAACACCGGUGGCGAAGGCGGG
rnacentral:rRNA from 1 species